rnacentral:rRNA from 1 species
AGAGGAAGUUUUCGGAUGGAAUCAGUAUAACUUAGUGGCGGACGGGUGAGUAACGCGUGGGAAACCUGCCUCACACUGGGGGAUAACAGUUAGAAAUGACUGCUAAUACCGCAUAAGCGCACAGUACCGCAUGGUUCUGUGUGAAAAACUCCGGUGGUACAGGAUGGUCCCGCGUCUGAUUAGCCAGUUGGCAGGGUAACGGCCUACCAAAGCGACGAUCAGUAGCCGGCCUGAGAGGGUGAACGGCCACAUUGGGACUGAGACACGGCCCAAACUCC